UCUCUGUUGAUUAUUGUCAGUCCACAAACCAGCUUGUAAACACAUUACCAACAGUUGGACUAGUGUGGUGACUUGUGGCUUACACUUUGCUCAGAAUACCACUUUGAAAAGGUAGUCUGGAAGGAAGAAGUGUGGGUGUGUUAUGAUUUAAUAACUGAUUGGUUAUUUACAUAGUGAUAAUGACAUCAUCAGUAUUAGUGUCAGUAGCUGCAAUGGAGAGCACAGAUUAAGCAGUACCAAAGGCAGUAUUUAUCUGAAGCAAAACAGUGUGGGAGGGAGAAGAUCAAACUAACUUUUUAAAUAUUUACAAGCUGUUCAAUCAUCCUAAUCCAGAGAUUCACAGAGGAAGAGAGAAGCUCAAGCAAUUACACAGAGUUUACAGAACCGCACGCCUGGUGGACACUGAAGUCCGCCCUGAACCCUGCCGAGGCCGGGCAUGGCGCUCCCAGGCUCCCCCCGAGCACGUCUCUGGAUCCAAAGUUUUCAAAAAACUUCUGAAAUUCUGAAAUUGGGCGCUCGCCACUAAAAGGGGGAAGCCUCACUUGCUUUCUCCCCUUUAAAAUACUACAAAUGUCUACACAUAGGCUGUAGUAUUUACACAGAUUGAGUGUCAACCUAACCAUAGAAACUCAAACUGAACUUCCAUCCAUCCUGCGGUGAGCAGCGCCCUCCUGCCGGCCUCACUAACCACCGACCUGCUCUUCAACAUCUCAUGAUCUUGAGAUCACAAACCUUGUUUUCUCGGAUGAUUUUAUCGCGUUAUCUCGAGAUAUCGUAAUAAUUAACACGUUAGAUAAGAUACCGCGAGAUAAGGGCAUUAAAGAUCAUUGAUCCUUAGAUCUGCACCCCGUAACCUGCUUUACAUCCAUGUAACUGUGAUAGCUGUGAUUAGCUGUGAUAGCAGCAGCUGUUAGCUAACGUUAGCGACGGUUCCGUCCGUGAAAAGUCAACUUUGAUCCAUUCCGGUGGGGGAGGACUCCGUGUGGACUCACAGAGGCCGUUACUGUGCAUGCAUGGAACAUACAGAGGCAAACUCGUUGUUGAGCUCAGGGAGCACAGCAUCAUGGGUGAGGAUGGACGGGUCCCUCUGAAGUCGCUCCAGCUCCUCCAGCAGACGCUGCUUGUCUUCCUCACUGCCGUUCCAAACAGUCACUGGCUUGAACAAGGCCUUGCCUGCAGCAUUACGCCUCUCCAGGAUUACAACCUGAGUUCAAGGAUAUCACAAAGGGGUUGCUGUAGCCGCUGAUACACGUAGGCAAACCUCACAACCUCUCUGGCGUUAGUGGAGGCAAAAGAGAGAAACGCCUGGUUCCCAAAAGAAAAGGUCUCUUCUUCACCUGUGAUCAGCAGGACACAGUAUCUGAGGGGAGAAAAGACACAGCAGUAGUUUAACAACUAACAAACAAACUGUGAAUGUAUGUGAAGAAAAUAAAAAGGUUUUCUCAC